CGGCUUUUGUCUCGCUCUAGAAGUGACGCGUGUGCGCGCUCGCAGCCCUGAAGGCGCUACUUUCCAUACAAAGUGAAUAGGCCUAUAUUAUAAUUACAAAGUGAACAUAUUAUAAUUGUAGAAUUUAUUUCUUUUUACGCAAGGUUAACAGGAAAGACAUAACUCUGAAAUGAAAGAGCUUCUCUCAAUCCGAUCGGAUAUGCUCUAUUAUCCCAAGUGACGUCACACAGACUAACGGCAUUUAACGGUGGCGAUAUCGCUAGUGAGUCGCCAAAGAUGCUGGAAGAGAAGAAGCAUGUAUGCACGAGAGACGUUGUGGGACCAUUUGAUGUUUUUGACGUGCAAGUGGUUGGAGAGUUCUUUUGAUUUUGGACUUGGAAGCCUCCACAGACAGUGGGGAAUUUGACAUUUCCCCCAGCCGUUUGACCACUUGAUAUGUCAUCAGCUCUUUACAGUAGCUGUUGUGGUCCACUGCAAGAGUAGGGCAGAGCAGAAGACCCAAGGCAACACUGAACGCCAUGAAAUGUUCGUACAACUGGUCCGGCAGAAUUCCCUUCAGCACCACUGUAUACAGGUUCCUUGGUUUUUGGGCAAAACAGCUUGGAAUGACCUCCUUCCCUUGGAGUGACAGCAGCCAUUGGGUCACUUCAUUUAUUUGCCCAGCAGACAUUCUCACCUUUCUGUCUCCUCUAACCCACUCUGUGAUGAGCUUUUUCAUUAUACCCAGGCAGGCUUGGUGCAUGGAGUCGAUUGAAAAUUGCUCUACCAUGUCCAGUGGGAGGUUCAAAAAUGGAGACAUUGGAAUGUCUUCAUUCUCCUGACGUCUUGUCAUUUCAGCACGGUUUGCUGGUUUGGUGGGACCAAUUGGCAGUGUUACUGGGAAGACAUUGAUGGGUGACAGGUGAAUGGCACAGCGGAUGGGCCAUGACGUCUUAUCAUGUGUCAUUGGUGCAUAGAAUGAGGUUGUUCACCUCUGGGUGUUCAUCUGUUUCCUUAUUUGGCUGGUUUGGAAGGAUUACAGAAAAGACACAGAUGGUUGAAUGGUCAAUGACACAAAACAGGCAGAAGAAAUACAACACAAGUACAAGGGUUAAGUUAAACAUGAACUUUUCGUAGUGUCCAUGGAAAUGUGCAAAACCAAUCUGACUGGCUUCUAGUUAAUCCUGCCUGACUGUGUAGUGUCAUUUUAACAUAAAGCUUCCAGAGCCCUCCAAGUGUCAGUCUCCAGCGUUGCAGGCUCAUGGACAUGUGCUACAAAAAUUCUUGGCGAAACUCUCUGCAAAAAAAAUAAACCUAUAUAUAAUUUACUCAUUACUACAUGUGACAAUAGUGUUUAUAGCACCUUAAAUUGUAAUUUACUUUCCCUAAUGUUGCUCCAGUCAUGUAUGACUUUUUGUUUCAUGGAACAACACCUAGUUGUGAGCUGUCGACAAAGCCCUUAAGACCACAGUAGAAGUUGUAACAAUUUAAAACAUUAACCCCCCCCCAGCAUGAAAUCAGCAUUACAAUGUUUCCAAUAUGCUUCAAAUGUAUUAUCUCCCUUUAAUAGUGCUGCAGCUGCUCACCAAGGCUCUCUCAAUUUAAAAUGGACACACUAUCCCUGACAUCGCUGCCUAUCACUGUUUUAUUGUGUAUGGGGAUGUUCUUUAUGUUGAUUUUGAGUGAUGUUGAUUAUUUUGUUGCUUACUGUUGUGUACAUGAAGCUGAAACCAUUCUUUACACUCUUGCCCCCCCCCCCCCUCCUCACCCUCACCCUUUUUUUGGUCCUGCUUUAAAACUAUUUCCCCAGUUAUAUCUUUUUAAUGCUGUAACAAGACCUUGUUCUGUUGUUCCAUUUGUUCCUGUUUUAAUAAAACAUUUUAAAAAUGAA